rnacentral:lncRNA from 1 species
GUCAAGAAGAGUGUGGUUUUCCAUUUCUGUGCCUAAUACCUAGUUACUGUUGGCAAGGGUGGACUAUCAUUUUGCUGACCAGGAUUGAAAUGUAAAACAGAAAACCUGAGAGGGAAGAAGUAACACUAUAGAGAAAAAAAUUCAUAAUGUAAAAAGGUCUGCAUGGAAGAGGAUUGAAGAGCCAGAUGGAGGAGAGCCAAGAAGUUUGGAGCAGGUUUUGUGGAUUGAAGAGUACAGAUGUGUGCAGCAACAGUUUUGUCAGGCGCAGCAGUUAUAAGUCAUGUUCUGGCUUUGCAUCCUAGAAUUGAUAUCAAGUUUUCAUACAUAUUUGUUCCAUAUGAGACUUCCAAAAAAAUUCAGGAGUGCCAGUUCCAAGGGAGAUGAAGGAGUCCUGUGGGUGAUCAUGUUGACAGGAGGACUAACAAAAAUAUGUGAAAAGAAUCUUGGAUUUUCAGCUGGGAAACCUAGAAGAGAUCAUAGCCAGAGACUAUGCAUCACAUGCUGCCUUUGAAUUCAUGGCAAAAUAGAACGUCUGCAUUAAAGGAUCAACAUCUUCCAUUAAACUAGUUUUAUUUGAAAAAAAUUGGCCCAAUAUACAUAAAUGAAGUAGAUGCAGACAGUCUCUAAACUUGGAAAACAUAAGUAACAUCUAUAAACCCUAGAUGUGCAAUCAACAUGUGAGUCUUAGCCAAAUGCAAUCUACUGGAGCCUGUGUUUCAGUCCAUAUUUGAAUUAUUAUUAUUUUAAAAAACGUGUUUGCUCUAAAUGUUUACCUCACAAGAAUUGGUACAUCAUUAAAACCUAAACACAUAAACUAUGACUCUAACCUCAUUGCUCACUUAUCUUUGCUGUGAAACUAUCAUUAGCCUCUUUUCUCAUAGAAUUAAUGUUAGUAAUUUUAAUUAAAGCUGAAUAAAAUUUAUUAUUUUAUUUAUUUAUUUAAGCUUAAUCUCUUAAGCCUAUUGUGAAAG